GACGAACGCUGGCGGCGUGCUUAACACAUGCAAGUCGAACGGAAAGGCCUCUUUCGGGGGGUACUCGAGUGGCGAACGGGUGAGUAACACGUGAGUAACCUGCCCUUGACUUUGGGAUAACUUCAGGAAACUGGGGCUAAUACCGGAUAGGAGCUCCUGCUGCAUGGUGGGGGUUGGAAAGUUUCGGCGGUUGGGGAUGGACUCGCGGCUUAUCAGCUUGUUGGUGGGGUAGUGGCUUACCAAGGCUUUGCCGGGUAGCCGGCCUGAGAGGGUGACCGGCCACAUUGGGACUGAGAUACGGCCCAGACUCCUACGGGAGGCAGCAGUGGGGAAUAUUGCACAAUGGGUGGAAGCCUGAUGCAGCAACGCCGUGUGCGGGAUGACGGCCUUCGGGUUGUAAACCGCUUUCGCUCAUGACGAAGCUUUGUGUGACGGUAGUGGGUAAAGAAGCACCGGCUAACUACGUG
rnacentral:rRNA from 1 species